rnacentral:rRNA from 1 species
UACAGAGGCCUCGAGCGUUAGGCGGAAUCACUGGGCUUAAAGCGCGUGUAGGCGGAUCGUUAAGUACCUUGUGAAAGCCCCGGGCUCAACCUGGGAACGGCGCGCGAAACGGGAGGGCUGGAGUUCGGGAGAGGAGAGUGGAAUUCCCAGUGUAGAGGUGAAAUUCGUAGAUAUUGGGAAGAACACCGAUGGCGAAGGCAGCCAUCUGGACCGACACUGACGCUGAGGCGCGAAAGCGUGGGGAGCAAACAGG